UUCACAGCCACCAGUGGGCAUAGUAUAUUACGUCCACAUAGAUAUAUUUAGUUUCUGUCAGCAGAUUUUACUGACACUUGACAGCAUAAGUAUUACUUUAAUGCAAUAAUUACUAGAGAGGUAAGUAACAUUAAUUGCAUUUAUUUAUUCUCUUGGUAUGAGCAGCAACAUUAAAGCCUACAAGUAACAGAAUCUCUGUUUGACAGGACCAUUUCAUCCCAUCGAUGUGUUGCCAUAAAUAGAACUGAGAUAUAAAUAAGGGAAGCUUGCCUUUCCAACUUCAGAUUGCUCCAAAAGUAAUGCCUCCUAUUUAUUUCAAUGGAAACUACAACAGAUACAAACAGCACAGUAACACUUUGAUAGAGAAAGUUCUUAGCUACAGAACAUUAUUUUUCAACAUAGUCACCACCGUUACCUCCUGCCUCUUUUCAGUCAUGUGUCAAGUGAAGUGCAAGUAGGUUCCAUCCUCCUCUUCAAAGAUGUGAUGGAAGCUGUCGUGUGGUGGCAGAAGAGAAACAUGAGGAAGACUGUGCACAGGGGCCUGCUCCCUCUGCUCUUUCAGAUGAGCGAUGAGACCCCAAGUGUUGCAGAGGCCUCUGGAGAAGCCCUCGUAUGUUGUGCAAAGUUCCUGAAGUGGAAGGAGCUCAAGCGCCAGGCCAAGAGAAAGGGAAAAAUGGAGAUCAAGGAGUGCUUGCUGCGGCAGGACAGGCAGACGGCGAAUGAAUACCUUUGGCUGAGCCUGCCAUACCUGCAAAAUUCUCAGGCCUCUUUGCGAUAUGAGGCUGUUGAAUUCAUUGGGCUGGCUUUGCAGCACUCCGGACACCAAAGCAGGGAGAAGCUGAAUGUAAUUUGCAGUGCCCUCCAGCCUUUGAGAGGCGAUGCCCACCCAGCAGUCCGUUCUGUGGCAACUGGAAUAAUCCAGAGAUGUCAAGGCCAGAAGGCAGAACCACCACAGAGGAGGCUCAUAGGGAUGUGCUGCUGGCCCUGCUGAGCCAGCCAUCUGUCCUUAUCAAGAUGACUCUGAUUAAAACUGGGAUUACAAAGCCAUUCCCUUGCAUGGGGAUACAGAUCCACAUCCAUGGCCUUGAAUGCCUCCAGGGAUGGGGUAUCCACAGUCUCCCUUGGCAACCUGUUCCAGUGCGUCACCACCCUCUGGGUGAAAAACUUCUUUAUAUCCAACCUAAACCUCCCCUGUCUCAGUUUAAAACCAUUCCCCCUCGUCCUGUCACUAUCCACCCUCAUCAACAGCUGUUAAUCAAUCAAUCAAUAAAAUUUUUAAAAUG
rnacentral:lncRNA from 7 species